rnacentral:rRNA from 1 species
UAGGGAAUCUUCCGCAAUGGGCGAAAGCCUGACGGAGCAACGCCGCGUGAGUGAAGAAGGAUUUCGGUUCGUAAAGCUCUGUUGUUAGGGAAGAAUGAUUAUGUAGUAACUAUACAUAGUAGAGACGGUACCUAACCAGGAAGCCACGGCUAACUACGUGCCAGCAGCCGCGGUAAUACGUAGGUGGCAAGCGUUGUCCGGAAUUAUUGGGCGUAAAGCGCGCGCAGGUGGUUUAAUAAGUCUGAUGUGAAAGCCCACGGCUCAACCGUGGAGGGUCAUUGGAAACUGUUAAACUUGAGUGCAGGAGAGAAAAGUGGAAUUCCUAGUGUAGCGGUGAAAUGCGUAGAGAUUAGGAGGAACACCAGUGGCGAAGGCGGCUUUUUGGCCUGUAACUGACACUGAGGCGCGAAAGCGUGGGGAGCAAACAGGAUUAGAUACCCUGGUAGUCCACGCCGUAAACGAUGAGUGCUAAGUGUUGGUCUCAUAAGAGAUCAGUGCUGCAGCUAACGCAUUAAGCACUCCGCCUGGGGAGUACGACCGCAAGGUUG